rnacentral:rRNA from 1 species
GUGAGGAAUAUUGCACAAUGGGCGCAAGCCUGAUGCAGCAACGCCGCGUGGAGGACGAAGGCCUUCGGGUUGUAAACUCCUUUUCUGGGGGACGAGCAAGGACGGUACCCCAGGAAUAAGUCUCGGCUAACUACGUGCCAGCAGCCGCGGUAAAACGUAGGAGGCGAGCGUUAUCCGGAUUUACUGGGCGUAAAGCGCACGCAGGUGGCUGCGCAAGUCGGACAUGAAAGCUCCUGGCUUAACUGGGAGAGGUGGUUCGAAACUGCGUAGCUUGAGGUUGGGAGAGGGACGUGGAAUUCCCGGUGUAGUGGUGGAAUGCGUAGAUAUCGGGAGGAACACCAGUGGCGCAAGCGGCGUCCUGGCCCACACCUGACGCUGAGGUGCGAAAGCGUGGGGAGCAAACAGGAUUAGAAACCCCUGUAGUCC